rnacentral:rRNA from 1 species
CAAGUCGAACGGUAACAGGUCUUCGGAUGCUGACGAGUGGCGAACGGGUGAGUAAUACAUCGGAACGUGCCCGAGAGUGGGGGAUAACGAAGCGAAAGCUUUGCUAAUACCGCAUACGAUCUCAGGAUGAAAGCAGGGGACCGCAAGGCCUUGCGCUCACGGAGCGGCCGAUGGCAGAUUAGGUAGUUGGUGGGAUAAAAGCUUACCAAGCCGACGAUCUGUAGCUGGUCUGAGAGGACGACCAGCCACACUGGGACUGAGACACGGCCCAGACUCCUACGGGAGGCAGCAGUGGGGAAUUUUGGACAAUGGGCGCAAGCCUGAUCCAGCCAUGCCGCGUGCAGGAUGAAGGCCUUCGGGUUGUAAACUGCUUUUGUACGGAACGAAAAGACUCUGGUUAAUACCUGGGGUCCAUGACGGUACCGUAAGAAUAAGCACCGGCUAACUACGUGCCAGCAGCCGCGGUAAUACGUAGGGUGCGAGCGUUAAUCGGAAUUACUGGGCGUAAAGCGUGCGCAGGCGGUUAUGUAAGACAGAUGUGAAAUCCCCGGGCUCAACCUGGGAACUGCAUUUGUGACUGCAUAGCUAGAGUACGGCAGAGGGGGAUGGAAUUCCGCGUGUAGCAGUGAAAUGCGUAGAUAUGCGGAGGAACACCGAUGGCGAAGGCAAUCCCCUGGGCCUGUACUGACGCUCAUGCACGA